rnacentral:rRNA from 1 species
AUUGAACGCUGGCGGCAUGCUUUACACAUGCAAGUCGAACGGUAACAGGUUAAGUUGACGAGUGGCGAACGGGUGAGUAAUGCAUCGGAACGUGCCCGAUCGUGGGGGAUAACGCAGCGAAAGCUGCGCUAAUACCGCAUACGAUCUGAGGAUGAAAGCGGGGGACCGUAAGGCCUCGCGCGAUCGGAGCGGCCGAUGUCAGAUUGGGUAGUUGGUGGGGUAAAGGCUCACCAAGCCGACGAUCUGUAGCUGGUCUGAGAGGACGACCAGCCACACUGGGACUGAGACACGGACCAGACUCCUACGGGAGGCAGCAGUGGGGAAUUUUGGAAAAUGGGCGAAAGCCUGAUCCAGCAAUGCCGCGUGCAGGAAGAAGGCCUUCGGGUUGUAAACUGCUUUUGUACGGAGCGAAAAGGCUCUCUCUAAUACAGGGGGCUCAUGACGGUACCGUAAGAAUAAGCACCGGCUAACUACGUGCCAGCCGCCGCGGUAA